rnacentral:rRNA from 1 species
UACGUAGGUGGCAAGCGUUGUCCGGAAUUACUGGGUGUAAAGGGCGUGUAGGCGGGACUGCAAGUCAGAUGUGGAAUUUCCAGGCUCAACCUGGGGGGUGCAUCUGAAACUGUGGUUCUUGAGUGCUGGAGACGAAAGCGGAAUUCCUUGUGUAGCGGUGAAAUGCGUAGAUAUUAGGAGGAACACCAGUGGCUAAGGCGGCUUUCUGUACAGUAACUGACGCUGAGGCGCGAAAGCGUUGGGAGCAAACAGG